GUUGUUGCGGUUAAAAAGCUCGUCGUUGGAUUUCUGUUGAGGUCGAACAGUGCCGCCCUAUGGGUGCGCAACUGGCUCGGCUUCGGCAUCUUCUUGGAGAGCGUAUCUGCACUUAACUGUGUGGAUCGUACUUCAAGUCAGUUACUUUGAGGAAUUGUGAGUGUUUCAAGCAGGCUUACGCCGUUGAAUCCGUUAGCAUGGAAUAAUAGAAUAGGACCUCGGUUCUAUUUUGUUGGUUUUGAGAGCUGGGGCAGCGAUUGAUAGGGACGGAUGGGGGCGUCCGAACUUUACUGUCAGAGGUGAAAUUCUUAGAUCGGUCAAAGGCGAACUACUGCGAACGCAUUCGCCAAGAAUGUUUUCUUUAAUCAAGAACGAAAGUUAGGGGAUCGAAGACGAUCAGAUACCGUCCUAGUCUUAACCAUAAACGUUACUGACUAGAGAUUGGAGGUUGUGAUUCACAAACUCCAUCAGCACCUCUAUGUGUAAACAAAGUCUUUGAGUUCUGGGGGGAGUAUGGUCGCAAGACUGAAACUUAAAGGAAUUGACGGAAGGGCACCACCAGGAGUGGAACCUGCGGCUUAAUUUGACUCAACACGGGGAAACUUACCAGAUCAAGACAUAGUAAGGAUUGACAGAUUGAGAGUUCUCUCUCGAUUCUAUGGGUGGUGGUGCAUGGCCGUUCUUAGUUGGUGGAGUGAUUUGUCUGGUUAAUUUCGUUAACGAACGAGACCUUAACUUGUUGAAUAGUGAAUCGUAACCUCGGUUACGUUGGAAUCUUCUUAGAGGGACUUUGUGUGAUCAACGCAAGGAAGUUUGAGGCGAUAACAGGUCUGUGAUGCCCUUAGAUGUUCUGGGAUGCACGCGCGUUACACUGAUUCGUUCAACGAGUUUAUGACCUUGCCUGAUGAGG
rnacentral:rRNA from 1 species